CCCGAGGGCUCCGAUGUCGCUGCGCAUGCGUGAGCUGAGAGAAGGUGAGAAAGGAGAACAACUCUCCUUUGCCGGAUGUGACGUCACAUUGUUGUUUGUUUUUUUGCUUUUUGAAAUAGCUACUCUCGAACUCAGGCACUAUGGUUCGCGCCUCGUUCGCGCGCGCAUUGUGAGCAUUCAAGUUUCGUUUUUUGCACUUGCUUAGUAGCUGAAAUUGCGGACAUUGCAGGGUUGGGCUUGAUGACAUUUGUUGCUCAGCUGCCGCGACACAUUUGGAGCAAAGCUUCUGCUUAUUUCCUUUGGCCGCACCUUAUAUUUGUUGUCUUUGUCAACAUCUGACCUGUUUCUGCCUUGUUGAAAGCAAGUGGCCACAAGUACUGCUUAGUUUGCUCAGUCUAAACCUGGUAGUGCAUCCAGUUUAGCGCCGUGCACAUGUGUGGGGCAUUUCCUUGUUCUUAUUGUGCUGAUGUGCCGUGUUGUACAUAGGAGGAAAGCCGGUCGUCCACAAUAUGGUUGUCAGUGUUGCUGAAUACAACACAGUCUUGCUGCCUUGACACGCCACAUCAUUUGGCAUCUUGGGGUGAGGUGGCAUCUUGCUGCUCCUUGUGGUCAGGCAUAGCCAAGACUGCAGGUAGAGUCCGCACACAAAGUUCGAGGUUGAACUAUAGAACCAGCACGCCCAAUAAAUGUGUGUGCAAAUUUAGCUCUAAGCGUGAUUUAUGUCAGGAAUAAAGAUUCACAAAAGGGGCUUGGUCCAUGGCCAAGCAGAGUGAGCACGAACAACAACAACCGUCUUCUUUCACAUCCUUUGUUGGUGCCUGCCUUUGCCGCUACAUAGUAAUUAAUUAGUAAUUAGUUUGCUAAGCUAUCCAUAACUGAGAACUCGAUUGAGCAUAGAAAGAAACAUGACUAUAGGCUCCUGUGUUUCUUAUGUUUAAAUCACAAUUUGUAGGUAUCAAACACAGCAUAGCAUAAAUGAUACAUUGGGCACUGCAACCCUGUGAUGUGCACAUUGAGUGCCUUUUCGCGUCUUCUUCAGAGGGUACUCGAGAUUUCUGGUUGGGUUGCCAUUGAUGUGUUAGCUCAGUGAAUCUUCCUUCCAAGGCAUUCAGUUUGUUAAAGUUAAGCCACUAUAGAUGUGUCCUCAUUGUUCAGGUUACUUCUGGCGACAUGACAACGUUCUUGUGGCUAUGAUGUGAUGCUUCAUGACACACAUGGUGCUCAAUUCUGAAUUAUUGUUGGCAUGCUUUUUCACAAAUGGUUUUAGUAAGAUGGUAAGAAUGGUUUUAGUAGCACAGGCGACGCAAAAUGAGCCACAGCAUAUGCUUUACCUCCAGCAUGUUCGUGAUCACCGAUGGCAUGUAAAACAGUGAUUCAGACCAAGCAUCGCAAAGAAUGAUUGUUGCCUUUCUUUCUUACAGGCUGCUGUGUUUCAGCUAAAUCUGCUUUUCCUGUGUCCAGUGGCCUUGUCACUCAAUUAGUGCUUGCCAAUUUCCAUUACACUGCAACCCACUAAAAAUAUGAAAUUUUAGAAUAUGAUGCCUCCCCUCUCUUCCCUUGUCCUUCUGACCUUUCACUCUGCUGCAAGCUUUUAGAUUUCAAUGCUUAAAUGAUUAAUACAAACAUUGAUGCUACCAUAUUAUUUCAUGGCUAUCAUGAUGGCAAUAAUUUAGGUUAACCUGAAACUAAAUGAGAAAAAUUAAAAUAGGCAUGUGUAAGUAGGACUGACUGUUCCUGGUUUCUGGCUCUAUGCUAAAUUUGAGGUCUUUGCCUCAAGGAAAUGGGUCUUGGAUUCUCAGACCCUUUUUGUGAUCCUGUGCCUGUAUCAGACCUGAUAUACAGUCACGGAAGUUUUACAAAAAGGAGCACCUUUCUUUUGGGGAACUGCUUUUUAUCACAAGUGUGCUAGAUAGCGCCAGUUAUGCUAUGAGCAGGCACAACUGCAGGUACAAACUAUAGUAUGUAGUUUAAAAUAAUUUCACAUCUAUUUGUGAACU